GAUGAACGCUGGCGGCGUGCCUAACACAUGCAAGUCGAGCGAUUCUCUUCGGAGAAGAGCGGCGGACGGGUGAGUAACGCGUGGGUAACCUGCCCUGUACACACGGAUAACAUACCGAAAGGUAUGCUAAUACGAGAUAAUAUACUUUUAUCGCAUGGUAGAAGUAUCAAAGCUUUUGCGGUACAGGAUGGACCCGCGUCUGAUUAGCUAGUUGGUAAGGUAACGGCUUACCAAGGCGACGAUCAGUAGCCGACCUGAGAGGGUGAUCGGCCACAUUGGAACUGAGACACGGUCCAAACUCCUACGGGAGGCAGCAGUGGGGAAUAUUGCACAAUGGGCGAAAGCCUGAUGCAGCAACGCCGCGUGAGCGAUGAAGGCCUCGGUCGUAA
rnacentral:rRNA from 1 species